CACUCAAUGAACAUGUAAUCUCAAUCAAAUAUCGAAAUAAACUGCAGCUCUCAAAUUCUUUAUGCCUGAAACUAUCACGCAUUGAACCUAAUGUUAAUUCUAUUAUUGAGCGUAGCAAGAAACAGGCUCAUCCUUCUCACAGGCCUCACUGAAGAGGUAAUCUGAAAUAAAUUUGUUAAGUAGAGUAGAGUAAAGUGGGUCGUCAUAAACUGGUGUGAUAAAUAGUGGGUCGUGACUCUAAAAAGUUUGGGAACCACU